UACGUAGGGUGCGAGCGUUAAUCGGAAUUACUGGGCGUAAAGCGUGCGCAGGCGGUUAUGGAAGACAGAUGUGAAAUCCCCGGGCUCAACCUGGGAACUGCAUUUGUGACUGCAUAGCUAGAGUACGGUAGAGGGGGAUGGAAUUCCGCGUGUAGCAGUGAAAUGCGUAGAUAUGCGGAGGAACACCGAUGGCGAAGGCAAUCCCCUGGACCUGUACUGACGCUCAUGCACGAAAGCGUGGGGAGCAAACAGG
rnacentral:rRNA from 1 species